CCUCUCCUGCACUUCUACCCUUGGGCAUGUGGGAGAGCCUGGGGGUGUUUGGGUCAUGACCAAAAAACAAGGAUGUGUGGGGAGCAGGUGAGGGAGCAGCCUGCAGGUGAGGGGUGUUUCCAUUAUCCAUGGGGCUGAAAAUGUUGUGGCUGUGUUUGGUUUUUGCUACUAAAACAAAAACCCAAAGGUCAAACCAAAGGUUGAGUGGUGGGAAUUUCGGAUCAGAGAGGAUUUUAUAAAAGUCAAUUUUACAGCAGGAGGAAUGAAGCUGGGUGAGGAAUGUGCCAGCAAUUAGUGAUGGGGAGACAAAGGGCUUCAGUUGAAGUGAAGACUCAGUGUUUUGAGUGGAUGCAUCCCCUCUGAUGCUAAAGAGUGUUGUGGAAACAGUUUUUAUCCCUUCCUGUUGGCACCGCUGGAAUACCUGCUUUUGUUCCCUUGGUUCCAGACUUUCUCAGAAAAUAAAAGCUCUGUUGAGGCUGGCAGGUGUGGGGAGCCCUUCCCUGCCUCUCCCUGGGAAUCUGUGUCCUGCUGGGAGAGGUGCCCGGCCCCUCCUGUGGCAGGGGGAGGUUGGGAAGGCUCAGGGACAGCAGCUGGCUCUGAUCCCUGUCCCCAGUGUCCCCAGCACUGGGACCCUGCUCUGCACACCCGGGGCCGUCCCUGGGGUUUGGUGACCUCACCACUCACACUCGUCCCCUUGUCCUGCUCCCUCUGAGUCACUCCUGCUGUCUCCAUCACACCUCCAUUUCAUUCCAGUUUCCAGUGGUUUGGGUUGAUUUGUUGGUUGGUUGGUUGGUUUGUUGUUUUUUUGGGUUUUUUUUCCCAAAAUUGCUCUCUUGCAAAAUCUGGUGGUUGAAAAGCUGCUUUGUUUAGCUCUGGUUUGGGUUUAUUUGCUGGUCCAGAAACAGCCAGAGCUUGGACAUCUCCCUGCUGGCAGCAGGAGCUCCUCGUGGAGUGAGAACUGGGUCAGACCCUGGGCCCUACCCUGGAAUUUCGAUCUAGUUUGAAGCACAGGUUCUACCUUGAUUCCAGCUAUUGUUGCAGCUGUAUCCAUCUUGUGUUUUGGGCUCCAAACGACGUGCUUAGAUCCUCUGUUGGAAAAGUUUUAACUUACAAAGAGGAGCAGAGCUGCCCUUUGGGUGGCACAGCCUUGAGACAGGAGUUUCUCUUCAGCCCCUUCUGCUCUGUGUGUCUCAGACUGCCAUCACUCAGCUUUCUCUCCUGCCUCUGCUCCUUCCCUGGCUCCAGGCUGUAGCUGAUGCCCGGCCCCCCCUGGCAUGAUGCCGUCGCGGACCAACCUCUCUGCUGGGAUUCCCAGUAGCAAAGUCAAAUACUCCAAGCUCUCCAGCACUGAUGAUGGAUACAUUGACCUGCAGUUCAAGAAGAGCCCACCCAAAAUCCCCUACAAGGCCAUCGCACUGGCUGUGGUGCUCUUCAUGAUCGGGACCUUCCUCAUCAUCAUCGGAGCCCUGCUGCUGGCAGGGUACAUCAGCAAAGGGGAGACGGACCGCGCCGUCCCCGUGCUGAUCAUCGGCAUCCUGGUGUUCCUGCCGGGCUUCUACCACCUGCGCAUCGCCUACUACGCCUCCAAGGGCUACCGGGGCUACUCCUACGACGACAUCCCCGACUUCGACGACUGAACUCAAUUAGUCCUGCCCUAAUUAGCCCGCUCAGAGCUGGUAGCUGCCCCGGGUGCCGGCGGGGCGCCGCGUCCUGGGCCGGAGGCGUUGCUGCUUUUCCAGUUUGGGGGCGGGGGCUCGAGCCCGGGGUUGACCAAAAGGAAUUGCGAAGAACUUGGGAUUUAUUUUUUUCCUCUGGGGGUUGCAUAAUUCUGCUCACUGGGAAGCUCUCGCAGUCCUUGCAAUUAUCCAGAAAUAGAUGAGCUGGUUUCAGCAGCAGAUACUUGUUUUCUCUAAAUGCUUCCAAACUACUGGUCCUGAGCUUGCCCGGAGUAAAUAAAGUCUGAUGAGAGGGGGAAAGCAGCACUUGCAGGAAGUGAUUUCCACACAGCGCACUUGCUCCACAGCUCCCUGUCAGACUGACCAAGCUCAUUUCCUCACAAGCACACCCUUCCCAAGCCAGCUUUCCCCGUGCCACUGUUGCUUUUGGCAAAACCCGCUCGUCCUUCACAAGGACUGGUGUUGGAGUUUGCCUGUUACUGAAACAACCAGAUGGAUUCUGGGAGAAGGAUUGGAACCCAGACUCAGGUGUCUAAAUACCAAAAAUCUUGGGCUUGACAAGUGUGGGUAUUGGAGACACUUGAAUUCCAGCUGUCUGUCUUUUGGAGUCCUUUAGUCCUUGUGUAGAUAAUUUGCUGUGCAGACCUGCCCAGGCCAGUGAAGAGAAGUUCUCUGUGUAAUUUGUGCUGAACAAACCCCCUGUGGAUUGCUUUGCCAGCUUUGCUGAUGUGUCAUUCAGGGAAAACAGAGUGAUGGCUCCACUUCUGUGAGGUAAAACCAGGCUGCUCCUGAGCUGGGGUGUCUCGGUGUCCUGGAGAAUGAGCAGUGGUGCAAGUGGAUGCAUUUAACAUGAAUAAAGUUCUAUAUUCUCUGUAACUGUGUCUUUCCCACCUUCACAGGUGUCAGAGUGCAGUAAAAGCUGUUCUGGGCUUUGGCUGCUGUUGCCUCCAGCUCCCAGGUGCUGCUGGAGUGAGGGAACAGCCCCAGCAUUGUCAGUCUGCACACAGCACUCCACAGUUGUCACCUGAGCCCCGGCUGGGCUGAACAUCCUGGAAGGAGGGGCAGGAGUGACUGACAGUGCAGAGCAGGCCAUGGAGCUGUCCACAGAUCAGGCCUGGACAAACACCUUGCUCUGAAUGUACUCCUACAAUUGCUUUUUUUUCCCCCUUCAGU